UCAGUCGACUCCUACGGGGAGGCAGCAGUGGGGGAAUAUUGCACAAUGGGCGCAAGCCUGAUGCAGCCAUGCCGCGUGUAUGAAGAAGGACCUUCGGGUUGUAAAGUACUUUCAGCAGUGAGGAAGGUGGGGUAUGUUAAUAGCAUACUCAUUUGACGUUAGCUGCAGAAGAAAGCACCGGCUAACUCCGUGCCAGCAGCCGCGGUAAUACGGAGGGUGCGAGCGUUAAUCGGAAUUACUGGGCGUAAAGCGCAUGCAGGUGGUUUGUUAAGUCAGAUGUGAAAGCCCGGGGCUCAACCUCGGAAUUGCAUUUGAAACUGGCAAACUAGAGUACUGUAGAGGGGGGUAGGAAUUUCAGGUGUAGCGGUGAAAUGCGUAGAGAUCUGAAGGAAUACCGGUGGCGAAGGCGGCCCCCUGGACAGAUACUGACACUCAGAUGCGAAAGCGUGGGGAGCAAACAGGAUUAGAUACCCUGGUAG
rnacentral:rRNA from 1 species